rnacentral:rRNA from 1 species
UACGUAGGGGGCAAGCGUUGUCCGGAUUUACUGGGCGUAAAGAGCGUGUAGGCGGCCAAGCAGGUCUGUUGUGAAAACUGGAGGCUCAACCUCCAGACGUCGACAGAAACCGCUUGGCUAGAGUCCGGAAGAGGAGAGUGGAAUUCCUGGUGUAGCGGUGAAAUGCGCAGAUAUCAGGAAGAACACCAAUGGCGAAGGCAGCUUGCUGGGACGUUACUGACGCUAAGGCGCGAAAGCGUGGGGAGCAAACAGG